rnacentral:rRNA from 1 species
GACGAACGCUGGCGGCGUGCUUAACACAUGCAAGUCGAACGGAAAGGCCCUGCUUUUGUGGGGUGCUCGAGUGGCGAACGGGUGAGUAACACGUGAGUAACCUGCCCUUGACUUUGGGAUAACUUCAGGAAACUGGGGCUAAUACCGGAUAGGAGCUCCUGCUGCAUGGUGGGGGUUGGAAAGUUUCGGCGGUUUGGGAUGGACUCGCGGCUUAUCAGCUUGUUGGUGGGGUAGUGGCUUACCAAGGCUUUGACGGGUAGCCGGCCUGAGAGGGGGACCGGCGACAUUGGGACUGAGAUACGGCCCAGACGCCUACGGGAGGCAGCAGUGGGGAAUAUUGCACAAUGGGCGGAAGCCUGAUGCAGCAACGCCGCGUGCGGGAUGACGGCCUUCGGGUUGUAAACCGCUUUCGCCUGUGACGAAGCGUGAGUGACGGUAAUGGGUAAAGAAGCACCGGCUAACUACGUG